AUUGACAGAUUGAAAGCUCUUUCUUGAUUUUGUGGAUGGUGGUGCAUGGCCGUUUUUAGUUGGUGGAUUGAUUUGUCUGGUUAAUUCCGAAAACGAACGAGACCUUAACCUGUUAACUAUGUGAAUGUUAAAAUUCGACUUCGGUCUCAAUAUUUGAUAUUAAAAUUUAAUACUUCUUAAAGGAACAAUUCAAACUUUAAUUGAAUGGAAGUUUAAGGCAAAAACAGGUCUGUGAUGCCCUUCGAUGUUCUGGGCUGCACGCGCGUUACACUGAUAUGUUCAAUGAGUUUUAAAUUUCCUAGUCUGAAAAGACGUGGUAAACUUAGAAAACAUAUCGUGAUUGGAAUAGUAAUUUUGUAAUUAUCGCACUUGAACGAGGAAUUCCUAGUUAAGGGGGCAAAUUC
rnacentral:rRNA from 1 species